UGUGUGUGUGUUAUUGUACAUAUGUAUACAUAUAUGUACAUAGGCAUGUAAGUUUAUGAUGAGAGAAAAUUUUCCAUUAACCCAUCGGAAUUGCAGCAGCAGUUGUUUGAAGCUUUACGCCAGCGAUGGAAGUCAAAAUAAUUUACCACACGAAUAACGCGCAAAUUUCAUCAUUCAUUUUUGCACGGCGUGCUUUUGGUGCCUCAGAACUUUCCUCGGACAAUAAGAAAGCCCCAGCGGUACCUUUGCAGAGCCUCCAACAGAUUUUUGACGCCAACGAGCCAAUAGUGGUGAAAGGACUCGCUUGUAAGCUAUUUUUAUUCACUCUUCGCUUGGCAGAUGCGCUGCUCCACUACGCUGCGGCAGUUCGUUAUCAUAGCAAGCGAUGAGGCGAGCCCUCCAGCGAACAAAUGGCAACAAAUUGAGACUUGAUGCGCAGUAACUUCUUUAUGCAGCACAUAUCGAUAACCUUCUAAGGUAAUCGAAUAAAUGCAACCUAAUCAAAUCAGCAAGCAACAAUAAUGUGCAAAAACGUUGUAUGUAGAUUCUAAAUUCUUGCCUGAGUAAACACGCCUCCGCCGUACGCUGAACGAUGGGUCAGCAAAAAAGGGGCGUGCCUGAAUUUAUCGCCGCGGUUGAAACAAGUAUGCGGCGAACGUGCUAGAAUUUCAUAGUAAUUAAAGGAAUUUGCCACAAACGCCACAAUGAAACGCAAUCAAGACAAUUGAAUUCAAUAAAACAAAAAUUAAAAAAAGGUAUUUAAAAAAAAAAAUAUUAAUAACAAAUUUAUU